AACUCCAAGAAUACAUGGAGGAGGUGGCCCAGGUCGGCGUCGGCGCCAUCCGGCACGGGCCACGGGCCCGCCUCCAAGCGCGUCUGCGCGCCGGCCACCCACGCCGAGUCCUUCAAGUGUCGCUUCCACCGCACCAACUACCAGGGCCAGGGAAGCCGCCCUUCUUCGCCCCCUUCACCGGCCGUGGCCAACGCAGUGCCGCGGCACCCGGCCUCGUCGUCCUCGUCCUCCGGCACCGUCGCGACCCAGUGA
rnacentral:rRNA from 1 species